GGGCGCAAGCCUGACCCAGCGACGCCGCGUGGGGGAUGAAGGCCUUCGGGUUGUAAACCCCUGUCGGGAGGGACGAACGCUUCACGGCCAAUAACCGUGAAGCCUGACGGUACCUCCAAAGGAAGCCCCGGCUAACUCCGUGCCAGCAGCCGCGGUAAUA
rnacentral:rRNA from 1 species